rnacentral:rRNA from 1 species
UACGUAGGGGGCAAGCGUUGUCCGGAUUUAUUGGGCGUAAAGAGCGUGUAGGCGGCCAGACAGGUCUGCUGUGAAAACUCGAGGCUCAACCUCGAGACGCCGGUGGAAACCGUCUGGCUAGAGUCCGGAAGAGGAGAGUGGAAUUCCUGGUGUAGCGGUGAAAUGCGCAGAUAUCAGGAAGAACACCCGUGGCUAAGGCGGCUCUCUAGUACGGUACUGACGCUGAGACGCGAAAGCGUGGGGAGCAAGCAGG